GAGGUUAAGCGACUAAGCGUACACGGUGGAUGCCCUGGCAGUCAGAGGCGAUGAAGGACGUGCUAAUCUGCGAAAAGCGCCGGCGAGGUGAUAUGAACCCUUGACCCGGCGAUGUCCGAAUGGGGAAACCCAGUGUGUUCCGACACACUAUCGUUAACUGAAUACAUAGGUUAACGAGGCGAACCGGGGGAACUGAAACAUCUAAGUA
rnacentral:rRNA from 1 species